GGCGACCUUGUUCAAAGACAUUGUGUAGUGACUGCUUGGUAAUGAAAUUCGUCAAAAAAAUACAUUCAUUCGCUCUCCAAAAAGUAGACAAAAAUUUUCUAUCAAUGCGGAUAAAAUUUCAAUUAGCGUUCUAAUGCUUCUGGACUCAGCUACUUGUUCUAUCAGCACUGGUCUGAGUCUCUGCAAGAACUGCUGCCCCACAAUUGAUGCUAGACAUUUUUCUUCUUCCCUAAAUUAGCUUCAGCCAGCUGUUGUCUUUUUCUCCAAGCUGGAAUCCUACCUGGGAAAGCCCAUCUCAACAAUCUCUCCCACGUGUGGCAGACCAAAAACAUAAGAAAUGCCCAAACCAAAAGCUUAUUCCUCAAUCCUGGGGGCAAUGGCACCAAUUUUAACCAGUCAUUCAAGUCCCUGAAUAGAUCAGAAGUGAUAACCGUGAAGAAACCUACAGCAGCCAAUAGGGCAUACAAAAAUGGUUUAUUUUCUGUGAUGCUCUGGUUGAAAGGAUGGCCCAUAUAAUUCACAGCAAAAGUGGCCACCUGGAGCAUCAUGCUCACCAUAUAUGAAACUGUGUUCACCAGAUUGGGAUGAAAAUCAGAAUCUGGCUCAAUGCAUUCAUCGGGCAUAUACUUCUCCGCCUCUUUGACAGAAGAUAUCAAGAAAAACAGGUGGACUGAAAACUGUCCCAUGAGAGAAAGGAAGACGUAGAAGCAGAAAAUAUUGGGGUGGGGCCGUUCCGCUGAAAGAAUGGGAAGGGGGCGAGCAUGUGAGAUAAAUAGAAAAAAAGCUGCAGUAAAGACACCGCUGAUUGUGGCCUGAAUAUCACCAAGCUUGACACCAUCCAAAUACAUGACACUCAACACAUAUGCCGUAGCAAGGCAGUUAAGGCCCAGUAUUUUAAACAUCUGGAGAGUAGUAACAAGGGUACUGCGACCUUGACGAAUUAUGUCGGUCGUAGGGGCAACUGAAGCAUGUUUUGCUGUAAAAGGAGAGGCCAUUGAAGCAUCACCAAGCUUGACAAUGGGAGCUGAGCGACCAUCGCCUUCCU
rnacentral:misc_RNA from 1 species